rnacentral:rRNA from 1 species
AGAGACAGCAGCAGCCAGGUAAUACAGAGGGUGCGAGCGUUAAUCGGAUUUACUGGGCGUAAAGCGUGCGUAGGCGGCUUUUUAAGUCGGAUGUGAAAUCCCUGAGCUUAACUUAGGAAUUGCAUUCGAUACUGGGAAGCUAGAGUAUGGGAGAGGAUGGUAGAAUUCCAGGUGUAGCGGUGAAAUGCGUAGAGAUCUGGAGGAAUACCGAUGGCGAAGGCAGCCAUCUGGCCUAAUACUGACGCUGAGGUACGAAAGCAUGGGGAGCAAACAGGAUUAGAUACCCCAGUAGUCCCUGUCUCUUAUACA